GUUACUUCGGUACAUCGGUGACAGGUGGUGCAUGGUUGUCGUCAGCUCGUGUCGUGAGAUGUUGGUUAAGUCCCGCAACGAGCGCAACCCCUAUUGUUAGUUGCCAUCAUUCAGUUGGGCACUCUAGCGAGACUGCCCGGUAAUAAACCGGAGGAAGGUGGGGAUGACGUCAAAUCAUCAUGCCCCUUAUGACCUGGGCUACACACGUGCUACAAUGGUUGGUACAACGAGUUGCGAGUCGGUGACGGCGAGCUAAUCUCUUAAAGCCAAUCUCAGUUCGGAUUGUAGGCUGCAACUCGCCUACAUGAAGUCGGAAUCGCUAGUAAUCGCGGAUCAGCACGCCGCGGUGAAUACGUUCCCGGGCCUU
rnacentral:rRNA from 1 species